rnacentral:rRNA from 1 species
AUUGAACGCUGGCGGCAUGCUUUACACAUGCAAGUCGAACGGCAGCAUGGGUGCUUGCACCUGAUGGCGAGUGGCGAACGGGUGAGUAAUGUAUCGGAACAUGUCCGGAAGUGGGGGAUAACGUAGCGAAAGUUACGCUAAUACCGCAUAUGCCCUGAGGGGGAAAGGAGGGGAUCGCAAGGCCUUUCGCUUUCGGAGUGGCCGAUAUCAGAUUAGCUUGUUGGUGAGGUAAAGGCUCACCAAGGCGACGAUCUGUAGCGGGUCUGAGAGGAUGAUCCGCCACACUGGACUGAGACACGGCCCAGACUCCUACGGGAGGCGGCAGUGGGGAAUUUUGGACAAUGGGGGCAACCCUGAUCCAGCCAUGCCGCGUGAGUGAAGAAGGCCUUCGGGUUGUAAAGCUCUUUCGGACAGAAAGAAAUCGCACUUACUAAUACUGAGUGUGGAUGACGGUACUGUAAGAAGGAGCACCGGCUAACUACGUGCCAGCCGCCGCCGUAACAC